rnacentral:rRNA from 1 species
AGGACGAACGCUGGCGGCGUGCUUAACACAUGCAAGUCGAGCGAGGCCCUUCCUUCGGGAAGGUGCCCUAGCGGCGAACGGGUGAGUAACACGUGGGCAACCUGCCCCUAGCACUGGGAUAACUCCGGGAAACCGGGGCUAAUACCGGAUAUGACCUUUGAGGGCAUCCUCUUUGGUGUAAAGGAUUCUGGCUAGGGAUGGGCCCGCGGCCUAUCAGCUUGUUGGUGGGGUAAUGGCCUACCAAGGCGACGACGGGUAGCCGGCCUGAGAGGGCGACCGGCCACACUGGGACUGAGACACGGCCCAGACUCCUACGGGAGGCAGCAGUGGGGAAUAUUGCACAAUGGGCGAAAGCCUGAUGCAGCGACGCCGCGUGAGGGAUGACGGCCUUCGGGUUGUAAACCUCUUUCAGCAGGGACGAAGCGAAAGUGACGGUACCUGCAGAAGAAGCACCGGCCAACUACGCGCCAGCAGCCGC